rnacentral:rRNA from 1 species
GAGGAAUAUUGCGCAAUGGAGGCAACUCUGACGCAGCCAUGCCGCGUGCAGGAAGAAGGCGCUACGCGUUGUAAACUGCUUUUAUCCGGGAAGAAACCCCUCUACGUGUGGAGGGUUGACGGUACCGGAGGAAUAAGCACCGGCUAACUUCGUGCCAGCAGCCGCGGUAAUACGAAGGGUGCAAGCGUUAUCCGGAUUCAUUGGGUUUAAAGGGUGCGUAGGCGGAGCGUUAAGUCAGUGGUGAAAUCCUGCAGCUCAACUGUAGACUUGCCAUUGAUACUGAUGCUCUUGAGUGCGCUUGAAGUAGGCGGAAUGUGCCGUGUAGCGGUGAAAUGCUUAGAUAUGGCACAGAACACCAAUUGCGAAGGCAGCUUACUAAGGCGCUACUGACGCUGAGGCACGAAAGCGUGGGGAUCGAAC